UGAGGAAUAUUGCACAAUGGGCGCAAGCCUGAUGCAGCAACGCCGCGUGCGGGACGAAGGCCUUCGGGUCGUAAACCGCUUUUCAGGGGAAAGAGCAAGGACGGUACCUCAGGAAUAAGUCUCGGCUAACUACGUGCCAGCAGCCGCGGUAAAACGUAGGAGGCGAGCGUUAUCCGGAUUUACUGGGCGUAAAGCGCACGCAGGCGGCUCUGGGAGUCGGACGUGAAAGCUCCCGGCUUAACCGGGAGAGGCCGUUCGAUACUGCGGGGCUUGAGGUAGGGAGAGGAAUGCGGAGUGCCCGGUGUAGUGGUGGAAUGCGUAGAUAUCGGGAGGAACACCUGUGGCGAAAGCGGCAUUCUGGCCCUCACCUGACGCUGAGGUGCGAAAGCGUGGGUAGC
rnacentral:rRNA from 1 species